rnacentral:misc_RNA from 1 species
UAUCAGAUUCUACCACCUCUGUGAACCGUUGACCUCCGGGUUAAUAAUCAAACAUCAGUGUAACGAACGUAAGAGUAUCUUAACGAAACAAAACUUUCAACAACGGAUCUCUUGGCUCUCGCAUCGAUGAAGAACGCAGCGAAAUGCGAUAAGUAAUGUGAAUUGCAGAAUUCAGUGAAUCAUCGAAUCUUUGAACGCACCUUGCGCCUUUUGGUAUUCCGAAAGGCAUGCCUGUUUCAGUGUCAUGAAAUCUCAAUCUAAUAUGUUUUCUGAACAUGUUAGGCUUGGACUUGGGCGUCUGCCAGUGAUGGCUCGCCUCAAAUGACUUAGUGGAACAUCCCACAUCAGUGUUAGACGUAAUAAGUUUCGUCUCUCCUUGUGGUGAUGACUGCUCAGAACCUGCCAUCGCGCAUCUUUUGACUUUGACCUGAAAUCAGGUAGGGCUACCCGCUGAACUUAAGCAUAUCAA